UUGGGGGCCAGAUCGUCGGUUGCGGGGCUUAGGACGGGCGAUGACAUCUUCACCGUCGGGAUCUCGCCCGCCUGGUGAAUGUUGAUGUCCCGGCUUCACGUGAUCGGUAGAGCUGUCCGGGUUCACCACGGGCCGUGAUGGUCAAUCGGCGCCUUUGUGUGUGCAGGGCUCAUCAUGAGCGCAGAUGUAGAAGUGCCAAUGGCAUCAAGUUCCCUCAGGCUCCAUCUCUCCUACUAGGUAAGAGCAUGUGCGACAGAGGCUCCGGAGGUCCUCUUCAUGUCCAGGGUUUCUUCGACAAGGAUGGCACGCCACGGGCCUGCACCGGAUCCCCGGCAGAGGCUCUGGAGCUCGCAAAUCCAAAUAAAGAUUUGUGCAAAUCCAAUGAAAUAUUGUUUAUCUUCUCGCUCAUGAGGUUACACUCUGAUAAUGGAAGAUUGGGUUUGUGCGAAUCCAAUAUCUUUUUGUUUCAAAGCAAUUAUUAAUAGUGAUUAAUUCCACAAUAUUUUUACGAACAAUUAUAUUUUUGUCAGAAUCCGGUUUCUGGUAAUUCUUAACACUACAUGUUAAUAUGUCACAUCUUCCAUUAAUUCUCAUGUUUGUAGGAGCCAUGGUUGUAUAAUAUGUACUGUACCAUUCACAGGUAGCCGAAGAAUAAGAUUGGAAGUGUAUCUUGUCAAAUUGCGUUUUAAAGCAUUUGAGGACUACAAUGGUGGCCCUGUUCAAUUUCUUCAUAAUUUUUUGUAUUGGUGACAAAGAUGGAAUUUCCCUUGAACUGAAUUCGCAUCUGAACUUGUGCCAAUGAAAUGAGGGUUUUAAUAUUUUUCAUAGAGCAAUUGAGCAAUGGUAGGAGAAGGGAAGGUGAUAGGAAGGGAAAAGGCAGGAUGAGCGAUCUGCAAGCACCAAGGAGAAGGGAAGGCGAUAGGAAAGGAAAAUGCAGGAUGAGCUUUUUUUGCAUUAGCUCGUAUUUCCAUUCCUUAUAAAGUUGAUGCAUCAAAGAAAUCUUGAAGAUCGGUUUACUCGACGAGAUUCCCAAGUCUUCGGAAUAAUUAGAAAUUUCUUGGCAGAUCUCGUUUAUUUUUCCCCGAGAUUUUGCAGCCAUUUUCAUGUUUAGUGAGUCUGUUCUUAACUUCUUACUUUUCUUUUUCUGGUAGUUUUCACAUAGAGCAUAAUAAUCUUGAAACCAACCGAAGGAAUAACCUUUGGGCAUAGCACAAUGAUUCAGUCCGUUCUUAACUUAACUUACUUUAGGUAAUAUUGCAAAAUAUAUUGGAUAGUGAGUCUGUUCUUAACUUCUUAUUUUUCUUUUUCUGGUAGUUUUCACAUAUAGCAUAAUAAUCUAUUGGAUCUUUGAUGUUAAUGAUGUUGCCAGCAGUGUACCGCAGGUUUCAUUACACCUUUGAAAUGUUCAUGGUUGCUGAUACAUGGAAGAAGAACAAGAUAACAGAUUAUCCAUAUGAAAUCAAGAUUACUCAUCGCUCAAAGAUCCAAUAGAUUAUCCCACUUGAGGUCCUCCAAGCAUGUACUGUCAACAACACUUCUAUCUGAUGUUGGUUUAGUGGAUGUGGUGACAGAUAUCAUACCAUAAGAAACAAAUCAAGACCCAAGAACAAAUAUUCACCUUAUCGACACAAGAUUGUGGGCAAUCAUAUAUAUGAGAUACAAUUGAUGUUUAGUAAUAUUCACUUCAUGGUAUGUUUCCCCUUUCACUGUAUUUUGUAUACUAGAGAAAAUAUGUCGUGACCUUCUGGUCUUGCUAGCAGAUGCUUCUUGAUUUGAGGACCCAACACUAAGUGAUUCGUGUUCAAGUCCAUGUAGAUUACUCAUUUGAAUAACAAGAAUAGUAUCUUCUACCAGGUUGUUUGAGCAUCCUCUAUCAGAUAGUCAAGCAUAGGUUGCAUUACCACUAAUGAGCUGGGAACUGUCAUGCGUUCCCUGGGUCAGAAUCCUACUGAGCCAGAGCUUCAAGGCAUGAUCAAUGAGUCUGCAACAAAACAGAUACGUCCGAGCUCACGUCAUCCUCGACAAGUCUUCAGAUCUUUGAAUCCUCCCCUUGAUGGUGAUGUGAAAAUAAAUGUUGAUGUUGCUCUGGCUCGCUAUGACGACCGUGGGGUGGUAGCUGCAAUUUGCCGUAGAUCGGAUGGUGUUUAUUUGGGUUCAUCAGCUCUUGAUUGCCCUGGUUUUUCAUAGCCAGCCAUAUUGGAAACAUUUGCUUGUAAGGAAGGCCUUGCCCUCGCUGCCGAUCUCCAAGAAACAAGAUAUGUCAUAGCUUCAGAUUGCCAAGAGGUUAUCACAGCAAAGAAGCAUGACUUCCAUCCUGCAUGAAAUAAAAUUCUGGAGUGAAGCUUUUAUUGAUGUUACAUUCAUUCAUGAAAAUGCAGUUAUGCAGCUUUUGAAAGAUUACCAAAGAUGCUCAUGGAUUCAAUUAGUUUGGGAAAAGAUGGUACACAAAUCAGAGUAUUUGGAAGAAAGGCGUCCAGGCUGUGCUCGUGUUGGUGCCAAGAACAAUCUUACCAGAAGAUGUGACUGAACCAACAACAGGGAUCAAGUUCCCUACCCUUCUUGAGGACAAUUCAAACCGAACCGCAGUUCCUUCUCAGGUAACAGUUCAGGACGACGGCGAUCUUGUUCAGGGGAGGACGGCGAUCUUAUCCAGGGAGCAGAGGACCUCGACGUCGCAGCAGCUGGUGGCGCAGG